UACGGAGGGUGCGAGCGUUAAUCGGAAUAACUGGGCGUAAAGGGCACGCAGACGGGCUUUUAAGUGAGAUGUGAAAGCCCCGGGCUCAACCUGGGAAUAGCAUUUCAGACUGGGUGUCUAGAGUACUUUAGGGGGGGGUAGAAUUCCACGUGUAGCGGUGAAAUGCGUAGAGAUGUGGAGGAAUACCGGAGGCGAAGGCAGCCCCCUGGA
rnacentral:rRNA from 1 species